rnacentral:rRNA from 1 species
UGGGGAAUAUUGGACAAUGGGCGAAAGCCUGAUCCAGCCAUGCCGCGUGUGUGAAGAAGGUCUUCGGAUUGUAAAGCACUUUAAGUUGGGAGGAAGGGCAGUAAGCGAAUACCUUGCUGUUUUGACGUUACCGACAGAAUAAGCACCGGCUAACUCUGUGCCAGCAGCCGCGGUAAUACAGAGGGUGCAAGCGUUAAUCGGAAUUACUGGGCGUAAAGCGCGCGUAGGUGGUUCGUUAAGUUGAAUGUGAAAGCCCCGGGCUCAACCUGCGAACUGCGUCCAAAACUGGCGAGCGAGAGUAGGGCAGAGGGUGGUGGAAUUUCCUGUGUAGCGGAGACAUGCGUAGAUAUAGGAAGGAACACCAGUGGCGAAGGCGACCACCUGUGCUCAUACUGACACUGAGGUGCGAAAGCGUAGGGAGCAAACAGG